rnacentral:rRNA from 1 species
UACCUAGGGUGCAAGCGUUGUCCGGAAUUAUUGGGCGUAAAAAGCUUGUUGGCGGUUUGUCGCGUCUGGUGUGAAAUUUCGGGGCUCAACCCCGAACUUGCAGUGGGUACGGGCAGACUAGAGUGUGGUAGGGGAGACUGGAAUUCCUGGUGUAGCGGUGAAAUGCGCAGAUAUCAGGAGGAACACCGAUGGCGAAGGCAGGUCUCUGGGCCACUACUGACGCUGAGAAGCGAAAGCAUGGGGAGCGAACAGG